GGGGGCAUAGUUUUAUAGGGGAUGCAGCGAGUGUGUGCAUACGGGCUGAAGUGUGUGUGUAUAGGUGACGUAGUGUGUGUAGGGGUUGCAGAGAGGGUGUGUUUAGAGAAUGUUGUAUGUGUUUGCUGACAAGGAAUGUAGUGUGUGUGUAGGAGAUCUACUGUGUAAAGGACCCAGUGUGUGUGUGUAGAGGAUUAAGAGUGCAUAUAGGGUAAGGGAUCUAAUGUGUAUCUGGAGCGUGUGUGUAGUGGUGCAGGGUGAGGGGUGCUGUAGUGUGUGUGUGUG